CUGACAUCAGACUUCCACAGCGACCUGCAGGUUAUCUACUAACAUCAUUGUCGUCUUCGAAGAAAGAUGAAGGCCAGUGUCUACGUCCUUCUGGCGCUCUUUAGCAUCGUCAUGGUGACAUCAAAUCCUGUGAGAAAAGACGAGAUUCCUGGAUGGGUGUCAGCGCUUAAAGGGUUGGUCAGCGAGCAGCAGUCAUCACAGGAAGCAGCAGGUGAGGGGUCAGACCCCGCAGAACGUGCCCUCUCCCCUGAGGAUCUUCACACAAUUUUAAUGUGGAUACCUCUGUAGACAACUCUCAAUCAAUCCUCCUUCGCUUAAGUCGACGGCUGAACAUCGUCGUCCAAUGGUGAUAUCGCCAAAUAAGUGAAAGAAAUAAAUACUUCUGAGAAAUU